ACGGCUCAGUAACACGUCGUUAACUUACCCUAUGGUCGUGGAUAUCCUCUGGGAAACUGAGGUUAAACCAUGAUAAAAGAUAGUCCCUGGAAUGAAUUAUCUUUGAAAUUCGUGCCGUAGGAUAGGACGGCGGCCGGUUAGGUAGUUGGCGGAGUAAUAGCCCACCAAGCCAAUGAUCGGUAAGGGCUCUUAGCGGAGAAGCCCUGAGAGGGAGUCUGAGAUACUACUCCCAGCCCUACGGGGUGCAGCAGUUAGGAAUCUUCUGCAAUGCGCGAAAGCGUGACAGAUUGAGCCACAGUGCUUUUCAUUCGAAAAGCUUUUGUACGCUGUAAAAAGGCGUACGAAUAAGGACUGGGUAAGACGGGUGCCAGCAGCCGCGGUAAUACCCGCGGUCCAAGUCGCAGCCACAAUUAUUGGGUCUAAAACAUCCGUAGCUUGUUUCGCAAGUUCCGUGUGAAAUCUCACAUCUCAAGUGUGAGGCGUGCAUGGAAGACUGCGUUGCUCGAGACCGGGAGACGUGCGGAGUAUGAUAAGGGUAACGGUAAAAUGUUUUAAUCUUUAUCAGACUAACAACAGCGAAGGCACCACACGAGAACGGUUCUGACAGUGAGGGAUGAAGGCUAGGGGCGCAAAAGGGAUUAGAUACCCCUGUAGUCCUAGCAGUAAACACUGCACACUAAACAUUGGUGCCUCCUCGAGAGGCGUCAGUGCUGUAGCGAAGGCGAAGAGUGUGCUACCUGGGAAGUAUAGCCGCAAGGCCGAAACUUAAAGGAAUUGGCGGGGGAGA
rnacentral:rRNA from 1 species